rnacentral:misc_RNA from 1 species
GAUGAAGAACGCAGCGAAAUGCGAUAAGUAAUGUGAAUUGCAGAAUUCAGUGAAUCAUCGAAUCUUUGAACGCACAUUGCGCCCCUUGGUAUUCCGAGGGGCAUGCCUGUUCGAGCGUCAUUAUAACCCCUCAAGCUCAGCUUGGUGUUGGUGCCUGCUGCACUGGCAGCCCUUAAAAUCAGUGGCGGCGCCAUCUGGCUCUAAGCGUAGUAAUUCUUCUCGCUAUGGAGUCCUGGUGGAUGCUUGCCAUCAACCCCCAAUUUUUCUAUGGUUGACCUCGGAUCAGGUAGGGAUACCCGCUGAACUUAAGCAUAUCAAUAAGCGGAGGA